rnacentral:sRNA from 1 species
GCUGGGUGUGGUGGCACACGUCUGUAAUCCCAGUGGCUCAGGAGGCUGAGUCAGGAGGAUUGCAAGUUCAAAUCCAGCUUCAUUAAUGGCAAGGUGCCAAGCAACUCAGUGAGACCCUGUCUCUA